rnacentral:rRNA from 1 species
AACUCACUUAGAGUAAUGUCUAAGUAUCAUUAAGUGAAUACAUAGCUUAAUGAGGGGAACUCAGGGAACUGAAACAUCUAAGUACCUGAAGGAAGAGAAAGAAAUUCGAUUCCGUAAGUAGCGGCGAGCGAACGCGGAUUAGCCCAAACCAAUAAAGUUUUCUUUAUUGGGGUUGCGGACAUAUCAUAACGAAGAGGUAUCGUAAUUGAAGAGGUUUGGAAAGACCCACCACAGAAGGUAAUAGUCCUGUAUGUUAAACGAGAAGACUUUAGAUAUGAUCCAGAGUACCACGGGACACGUGAAACCCUGUGGGAAGCAGGAGGGACCACCCUCCAAGGCUAAAUACUACCUAGUGACCGAUAGCGUAUAGUACCGUGAGGGAAAGGUGAAAAGAACCCCGGGAGGGGAGUGAAAUAGAACCUGAAACCCUGCACUUACAAGCUGUGGAAGCACAUUUCUUGUGUGACCGCGUACUUUUUGUAGAACGGGCCAACGAGUUACGUUAAGUAGCAAGGUUAAGCACUUAAGGUGCGGAGCCGUAGCGAAAGCGAGUUUUAACUGAGCGUUCAGUUACUUGACGUAGACCCGAAACCGGGCGACCUACCCAUGAGCAGGAUGAAGCGAAAGUAAAAUUUCGUGGAGGUCCGAACCCACGAGCGUUGAAAAGCUCGGGGAUGACUUGUGGGUAGCGGUGAAAUUCCAAUC